GCUAGGGGGUACGUACGCAAGUAUGAAACGUAAAGGAAUUGGCGGGCGAGCACCACGAGGGGUGAAGCCGGCGGUUCAAUUGGAGUCAACGCCAGAAAUCUUACCCGGAGAGACAGCAGAAUGAAGGUCAAGCUGAAGACUUUCCCAGACAAGCUGAGAGGUGGUGCAUGGCCGUCGCCGGCUCGUGCCGUGGGAUGUCCUGUUAAGUCAGGUAACGAGCGAGAUCCUCGCCACUAGUUGCUAUCAUUAUUCUCAGGAAUAGUGGGGCGAAUUAGUGGGACUGCCGUUGUUAAAACGGAGGAAGGAGGGGGCUACGGCAGGUCAGUAUGCCCCGAAACUCUGGGGCCACACGCGGGCUGCAAUGGUAGCGACAAUGAGUUCCAAACUCGAAAGAGAGUGGCAAUCUCUAAACGCUACCACAGUUAUGACUGAGGGCUGUAACUCGCCCUCACGAAUAUGGAAUCCCUAGUAACCGCGUGUCAUUACCGCGCGGUGAAUACGUCCCUGCUCCUUGCACACACCGCCCGUCGUUUCAUCGAAGUUUGCUUUUAGCGAGGUGAUGUUUAAUUGGCAUUAUCGAACUUGAGGUAAGCGACGAGGGAAAAGUCGUAACAAGGUGACCGUAGGGGAACCUGCGGUCG
rnacentral:rRNA from 1 species